UGCGUACUUGGUGUCUGAGACUUUCUGAGGCCUGUCUAGGAAAUUCUCCUCCAAGUGAAGCCUGGUGAAGGGUUUUUACAGAAUUGCUCGGCUGCUGGCUUCGCAGAGAUCCUUUCAUUUUUAGCCGGUAUUUUUAAACAUGGAGAGAACAAGCGAUGCAUAACAAUCUGUAAGUGUGAAGGGGUGCCUGGAACUGUCUGAGGGCUGUGUAUGGAAGAUGAAGUGGCUAUCCUGGAAGACAAAGCAGAGACGUAGAGUCAAUCAGCAUAUGCAUGUAUGUGUGUACUGUUAUUAUGUUACUUAACAAUCACAUGUAUUAUGUGUCAUGGGCUGUUCUAUGUGCUUUAUAAAUAUUGACUUAUUUAAUCAUCAUAUCAAUUUUAUGAAGUAGGUACUAUUAUUAUCCCCAUUUAGUGGCAGAGAAAACCAAUACACAGAAAGGCUAGAUAACUUGCCUGAGGUCACACAGCUCUUAAGUGGAGAUCUGAAGCUGGGCUUAGUCACCAGUCUUAUGCUGUCUCUCAUUGUACAGUGGCACC